rnacentral:lncRNA from 1 species
UGGGAACUGAACCUAGGUCCUCUGAAAAAGCAGCAAGUCUCACAACAGUUGAGUUAUCUUUCCAGGUCCUCUUUUAAUCUUUAGUCCAAGAUCCUCCAUCAAGACAAACCCAUGGAGGAUUCUAAAGUUUUAGGAUGAGAGUCAUCACUUAAGAGUAUAUAAGAUGUUCUCGAGUUGCAUUCCAUCAUCUUGGAAGAUGGUUGUGUUAAUACUUUUGAUUUUUUCUCUUUUGUGUGUGUGUGUGUGUGUGUGUGUGUGUGUGUGUGUGUGUGUGUGUGUGAGUGUAAGUGGAUACCUGCCAUGGUGCAUGAACCUUUGGGUUUUGGUGGGCCCUCACCUUCCCACUUUGUUUACCAUGGUACCUCUUUGUUAAUACAUACGCCAUUCAAUGAGCAUGAGCUUCUGGACAUUCUCCUAUCUACUUCCUGUUUCAGGUAGGCAUUUUGGGAAUACAGGUACCUGGCCUAGUGCACUUAGCUUUUUUUGUUUCUUUGUUUUGUUUUGUGAAACAGGGUUCCCUGUCCUGGAACUCGCUCUACAGAUCAGGCUGGUUUCAAACUAAGAGAGAUCUGCCUCCCAAAUGCUGGGGUUAAAGGAGUGUGCUAGUACCACCUGGAUGCACUCAGCUUUUGUGUGGGUUCUGGGGAUCUGAAUUCAGGGUGUGAAGCCUAUUUGGCUAGUUCUUUUCUUCAUUAAAAUGGUAUCUGUCAUAUAUUUCUCCACCCAUUUUCCUGUUUCAUUAGUAGCAAUUAUAGUCUACUUCAUUUCUCCUUUUCUUUUAUUCAGUAUCUAGGUACUCAGAAGUACAAUAAGAUGUAGGUCUAAUGGGAACAAUGCAUGCAGCUCAUGUUGGAGUGGCAGUUUCCAUUCAGAGAGCUCAAAAUAUAAAUCUUACUUACUAAAAUAAGAACAGAUAACAACACACUGUAAAUAACAAGACAACAAACUAGCCUAGCACAGCGAAAUCACAUUGUAUUCACUUACUACACUCACCUCGCCUCUACCCCUAACUACAGGAAGAGGCAACAUCUAGGAAGAAAGAAAAUACUUUAACAAAGGCUAAAUACUCACAAAAAGUUUGAUCAACACAGUAAAUAACAAAUACAAGUAAUUACUGCAAAAUAACUUCAAAUUUCACAUGACUAAUAUGUAGUAAAAUGGGUGGUUACUUCGAAAUCUGAGAGUGAACUUUUUACAGAAAAAGAACAUUGAUACACAGACACUGAGAACUCUCUCAGGGGUGGUGAUUCAGAUCUGGUUAUAAUGUGACCUUCCAAGUGACCAUUUUUACACAACUAUAUUGGAAAGGAUCUAGUGAUUUUUUUUUUCUUGCGUGAUUUCAGACAAACUCUGGUAAAUCUCCAAUAAUUUGAUUAGAGUUGGAGUGCUGUGAUUUUAAGAACCCAAAGCAACAGCAUUUUCUAAACAAUUCCUAAAAUAAACUUGUUAGCCACAUCAGCUCCAUGAAUUCAAUUUCGCAACUCAUGAAGACAAGAAAAGAGGUCUUGCUUAACUCUCAGCACACAGGUUUUAAAGGAGUUUUAAUGAACUGAGUGAAGCUCUGAGAACAAGAAAAGCCUUAUUUGAAAACAAUCAGUCCUUAAGUCCUUGGCUAACAACUAGAUAAAACAAACUACCUACAUGAAUUGGACCUGAAGUGCCUUGGAAGCGAUUUUUAAAACUAACACUUUUAUUCCCUGGUAAAAUGCUUGAAAUAUAAAUUGAAAUCUUAGUCAUUUUAGAUCAAAUGCAACCUAACAAUUAUAUAACUUAACCUAAGCAGAAGACAUUAUACAGAACUAAGGAUUUUUAUUAAAAAAAAAAAAAGCGAAGGAAAAA